rnacentral:rRNA from 1 species
AAGUGGCAAACGGGUGAGUAACACGUGGGCAACGUGCCCCAGAGACGGGCAUAACGGUGGGAAACCACUGCUAAUUCCCGAUGGUCUGUUGGUGACUUAAGUCACCUUCAGUAAAAGGCUUCGGCUGCUCUGGGAUCGGCCCGCGCCCCAUUAGCUUGUUGGUAAGGUAACGGCUUACCAAGGCGACGAUGGGUAGCUGGUCUGAGAGGACGAUCAGCCACACUGGGACUGAGACAUGGUCCAGACUCCUACGGGAGUUAGCAUCCGGGAAUCUUGCACAAUGGGCGAAAGCCUGAUGCAGCGACGCCGCGUGGGUGAUGAAGGCUUGCGGGUCGUAAAGCCCUGUCAAGAGGGAAGAAUGCCUGGCUUCUGCCAGGUUUGACGGUACCUCUGAAGGAAGCCCCGGCUAACUACGUGCCAGCAGCCGCGGUAAUACGUAGGGGGCAAGCGUUGUCCGGAGUUACUGGGCGUAAAGCGCACGCAGGCGGUCUAUUAAAGCGGCGGGUUCAAUCUCGGGGCUCAACCCCGAAGCAGCUCGCCGAACUGUUAGACUGGAGCACGGGAGAGGGCAGUGGAAUUCCCGGUGUAGCGGUGGAAUGCGUUAAAUAUCGGGAGGAACACCAGUGGGCGAAGGCUGCUGCCUGGAACGUUUGCUGACGCUGAAGGUGCGAAAGCCAGGGGGAGCAAACGGGAUUAGAUACCCCGGUAGUCCCUGGCCGUAAACGA